UACAGAGGUCUCGAGCGUUGUUCGGAUUUACUGGGCGUAAAGGGCGCGUAGGCGGCCAGCACAAGUCAGUUGUGAAAUCUCCGGGCUUAACUCGGAAAGGUCAACUGAUACUGUGCGGCUAGAGUGCAGAAGGGGCAACUGGAAUUCUCGGUGUAGCGGUGAAAUGCGUAGAUAUCGAGAGGAACACCUGCGGCGAAGGCGGGUUGCUGGGCUGACACUGACGCUGAUGCGCGAAAGCCAGGGGAGCGAACGGG
rnacentral:rRNA from 1 species